CCGUCAGUAGCGCAGCUUGGUAGCGCACUCGCCUUGGGCGCGAGGGGCCAGAGGUUCAAAUCCUCUCUGGCGGA
rnacentral:tRNA from 1 species